AGAAGAAGAACAACAACAAAAC
rnacentral:sRNA from 1 species